rnacentral:sRNA from 1 species
UGAGCUGCCAUGUAGGUGCUGGGCACCAGAGCAUUGCUCCUAACUGUUGAGAAAUCCCUAGCAUCCCACCCUUGACAUUUUAUGGAGGUGCUUGGAGAAUCACAUGUAUUGUACGAAGUAAUCCAGAAAUUACAUGUAUUCACAAAGCUAUAGCAAAAUAUCACAUAUCAACAGCAAGACAAGCUUCCAAUUCUAUUCGCACUUCCCUUUUGUGAUCCCAGGUAAUUGUAUUUAUUCUAUAUGAUUUCAUUGGCGUUUUAGGUUUUGUGCCCAUCACAGUUAAGACACAAAACACUCCAUCAGCACGAGUAUCCUUCUUGUUGGUCUUUCUUGAGUAAACAGCCUUCCAUUCUCUUGGUACUCCGCAUUGUUACACAGGUGAGGUCAUACAGUGCCUGAUUGGGUAACUGCUUUGUCAUUCAGGAUGAUUAAGCAGUUUGUGUUUUUCUCUUUUAUACCAGUGACUGUUUGGUCUGCAAUUUCCAUACCUCCAGAUACUUUCUCUGUGGCUGCAGUGAGACAGAUGCUCAUUGAAUUAUUUCAGUACAAGAGCCAUUCAGGGGUAGUUCAGGAUGUAUAAGGAACCUAAAGAGUAGUGAAUGACGAUAACGGUGCGCCUGGGUCUGGUAGCUGGAGGGCAGGGCAAAGUGGGGACCAGGUAAGCCAGCCAGCCUGGUGGAGGGGGCACACACAGGGAAGUCAGAGAAAGAAAGGACACGGUGAGGAAAGAAUUCCCUUUGGCUCUUUGGAGCAACGGUCAGCAGCUAUACUCAUAGCCUUACGGUUUUGGUGUGGAGACCUUAGAACUGCGCAUGCGCGUGGCAGAGGCGCAGGCUCGCCGCACGCAGUCGUUUUCUCCACCGCUUGGGGAACCGCCUGCAUCUGCACUCCUGUUCGCCACCGUACCUAAGUUAAACAGAGCACUUCCGGUGGGCCUGGCGUUGCCCGGGUAACAGGAGAGGAGUUCCGUUGGCUUUUCUGAGUUCUGUCUGGAUUCAGACCCCAAUUUCCUGUGCGGGCGAGUAACCUCUCCCUGACCGGAAGUCAGGGCAGGGCGACUACUGCGCAGGCGUGGUGUGUGGCCUGGAGGCCCGGGUUUGUUAGCUGCUGCGGAAGAUGUGGAGUGAAUGAUAUCGGCUUGGUCCUGGGCCGAGACCCUGGGCCGCUCUGUGGCGUGCGGCCAUCACUGGGGUCCGGUGGCGAGCAGGGGACAGGGCUGUAGUGGAACUGCGCGUCCUCGUGUGCCACUCGUGGGCUCCUGAACGGACUUGGUGUCCCGCUCCAGACUGACUCAUAAAGCAAGUCUUCCUGCCGAGGUGCCAAGGUCUUCAAUUCUUAUCCAGCUGGAAAGUGAGGCAGCUUCUCAUUACUCUCCGUUGAGCGGGACACAAGAGGCUCCGUCCUGGGUUAGCAUGCAGAGACGGAGAGGAAGAACAGAGAGGGUGAGGAGGCGACGUCGAAGCUCUGGCUCAAGAGGAGGUACAGGCUGCCUGGGAGGAGCUCUGUGUGGAGGAGGCACUCCUCACAGCACUUAAUGGAGUCCUUGCAUGCUGUGAGAGGAUCAAUGUGUUUGCCUCAUUGUUUCUACUGCAUCCUCUGUGGCUCUUCCCUGGGUUUAUGCUUCUGUUUGUCCAUCCCUUUGCCUGCUUCUGUUUGUCCAUCCCUUUGCUCUGGCCUCUCUCUCUGAGUAUAAAGCAUCUCCGAUUGAUGGUCUUGUCCUCGGCCUGGUGGAUGCUGCCUUUUUAUGCCUUGUUUUCUCUGUGUCGAAUAUCUGCUUUUUGUUCUGGUUCUCCUUUAGUGUUCUCUUUUAUAUUAAAUUGGUAUUUUAAUUUC